UAGCUUGAUCCUGGCUCAGAAUCAACGCUGGCGGCGUGCCUAACACAUGCAAGUCGAACGCGGUUACUUUUGUUUCGCAAGAAACAGGCGUAACUGAGUGGCGAACGGGUGAGUAACACGUGGGUGAUCUACCUUCGAGUGGGGGAUAACGUUCCGAAAGGAACGCUAAUACCGCAUGACGUUCUGGGUUUGAAGACCUGGAAACCAAAGCCGGGGACCGCAGGGCCUGGCGCUUGAAGAGGAGCCCGCGUCCGAUUAGCUAGUUGGCGGGGUAACGGCCCACCAAGGCGACUAUCGGUACCCGGCCUGAGAGGGCGGACGGCCACACUGGGACUGAGACACGGCCCAGACUCCUACGGGAGGCAGCAGUGGGGAAUUGUUCACAAUGGGCGCAAGCCUGAUGACGCAACGCCGCGUGGGGGAUGAAGGCCUUCGGGUCGUAAACCCCUGUCGAAUGGGACGAAAAGCCCGCGAUUUAACAAAACGCGGGACUGACGGUACCGUUAAAGGAAGCCACGGCUAACUCUGUGCCAGCAGCCGCGGUAAUACAGAGGUGGCAAGCGUUGUUCGGAAUUACUGGGCGUAAAGGGCGCGUAGGCUGCCUUCUAAGUCAGACGUGAAAUCCCCCGGCUUAACCUGGGAACUGCGUCUGAUACUGGGAGGCUUGAGUAUGGGAGAGGGAU
rnacentral:rRNA from 1 species